rnacentral:rRNA from 1 species
CUACCACAUCUAAGGAAGGCAGCAGGCGCGUAAAUUACCCAAUCCUAAUUCAGGGAGGUAGUGACAAGAAAUAACGGACUGAGGCCUACGCUUCAGGAUUGCAAUGAGUUGAAUUUAAACCCCUUGACGAGGAUCAAUUGGAGGGCAAGUCUGGUGCCAGCAGCCGCGGUAAUUCCAGCUCCAAUAGCGUAUAUUAAAGUUGUUGCAGUUAAAAAGCUCGUAGUUGGAUUUC